rnacentral:rRNA from 1 species
GACGAACGCUGGCGGCGUGCCUAAUACAUGCAAGUAGAACGCACAGUUUAUACCGUAGCUUGCUACACCAUAGACUGUGAGUUGCGAACGGGUGAGUAACGCGUAGGUAACCUGCCUGGUAGCGGGGGAUAACUAUUGGAAACGAUAGCUAAUACCGCAUAAUAUUAAUUAUUGCCUGAUAAUUAAUUGAAAGGUGCAAUUGCACCACUAACAGAUGGACUUGCGUUGUAUUAGCUAGUAGGUGAGGUAAUGGCUCACCUAGGCGACGAUACAUAGCCGACCUCAAAGGGUGAUCGGCCACACUGGGACUUGGACACGGCCCAGACUCCUACAGGAGUGAGCAAGAGGGAAGCUUCGGCAAUGGACGAAAGUCUGACCGAGCAACGCCGCGUGAGUGAAGAAGGUUUUCGGAUCGUAAAGCUCUGUUUUAAGAGAAGAACGGGUGUGAGAGUGGAAAGUUCACACUGUGACGGUAUCUUACCAGAAAGGGACGGCUAACUACGUG